rnacentral:rRNA from 1 species
CCUACGGGCGGCAGCAGUGAGGAAUAUUGGUCAAUGGGCGCUAGCCUGAACCAGCCAUGUAGCGUGAAGGAUGACUGCCCUAUGGUUUUUAAACUUCUUUUAUAUGGGAGUAAAGUGCAGUAUGUAUACUGCUUUGCAUGUACCUUAUUAAUAAGGAUCGGCUAACCCCGUGCCAGCAGCCGCGGUAAUACGGAGGAUCCGGGCGUUAUCCGGAUUUAUUGGGUUUAAGUGGAGCGUAGGCGGGUUGUUAAGUCAGUUGUGAAAGUUUGCGGCUCAACCGUAAAAUUGCAGUUGAUACUGGCAUCCUUGAGUACAGUAGAGGUAGGCGGAAUUCGUGGUGUAGCGGUGGAAUGCUUAGAUAUCACGAAGAACUCCGAUUGCGAAGGCGGCCAGCUGGACUGUAACUGACGCUGAUGCUCGAAAGUGUGGGUAUCAAACAGGAUUAGAUACCCCUGUAGUC